UCAGGACGAACGCUGGCGGCGUGCUUAACACAUGCAAGUCGAGCGGUAAGGCCCCUUCGGGGGUACACGAGCGGCGAACGGGUGAGUAACACGUGAGCAACCUACCCUCAACUUUGGGAUAAGCCUCGGAAACGGGGUCUAAUACCGGAUAUGAUCUCCUGCUUCAUGGUGGGGGGUUGAAAGUUCUGGCGGUUGGGGAUGGGCUCGCGGCCUAUCAGCUUGUUGGUGGGGUAAUGGCCUACCAAGGCGUCGACGGGUAGCCGGCCUGAGAGGGCGACCGGCCACACUGGGACUGAGACACGGCCCAGACUCCUACGGGAGGCAGCAGUGGGGAAUAUUGCGCAAUGGACGAAAGUCUGACGCAGCAACGCCGCGUGAGGGAUGACGGCCUUCGGGUUGUAAACCUCUUUCAGCAGGGACGAAGCGAGAGUGACGGUACCUGCAGAAGAAGGACCGGCCAACUACGUGCCAGCAGCCGCGGUAAUACGUAGGGUCCGAGCGUUGUCCGGAAUUAUUGGGCGUAAAGGGCUCGUAGGCGGUUCGUCACGUCGGGAGUGAAAACUCGGAGCUUAACUCCGAGCCUGCUUCCGAUACGGGCAGACUAGAGGUAGGCAGGGGAGAGCGGAACUCCUGGUGUAGCGGUGGAAUGCGCAGAUAUCAGGAAGAACACCGGUGGCGAAGGCGGCUCUCUGGGC
rnacentral:rRNA from 1 species